UCACCACCACCCGUCCUAAGGAAAGCCGGCCCAACGAGGAAACCGAGGCACGGCUCGCCCUGGCCUGCUCUCUCCUCACCCACAGAGAGUGUCCCCAAACACGGCGCGGGGGCGGGAGGGGAAUCGCUAGGACAGCGCUGGGAAGGCAGGCAGGCAGCAGCCGAAACGACUGGUGCCCCCCGGUGGCGGGGGCCCAAGCCGUCCGGUGAGAGGCUGCCCGCGCGGGGCCCUGGCUCGGGCCGGGCGGCGGGGGCACGCGGGCGCGGGGACGUGCCGCGCGCCCGCAGGCACCGCCCUCCCCCCAACGGUUCAACCUCCCCCCCAACGGCUGCCCGCCCCCCCUUACCCCGCCCUCUGAGGGGCCGGCCACACCGCCGCCCCCCUCCCGCCCGGCGAGCCGCGGCCGAGCCGGCCCCCCCCUCCUGCCUCUACCCGGUUACCUGCGGUCGCCGCCCCUCACAUCCCUGCCGGGAGGGGCCCCGCGGCCGCCGCCGCCGCCGCCGCCGCCGCGCGCGGACAAAGAGGAGGAGAGGGAGGGGGGGGAGGCCGGAGCGGGCGGUAGGAGGGGCCGGUGCCCGCGCGCUCCGCCGCCAUGAGGGGAGGGAGAGAGGGACUGGCCGCGGGGGGAGGCGGGCAACAGCGGCGAGAGCCGGUCGCAGCCCCCUGCCCGGCCGCCCCUCCGCGGAGAUUCCGGCAGCGCCCGCCGGAAGGGGCGGGGCGCUGCCCGGCGCUCCACCUGCCUCCCGCCACGUGACAUCCCCCCGCCUCCCCACGGUAACCCCUUACUGUCAUUUCGGCGGUGGGGACUCGCAGGCGGCGCGGCGCGCUUCCCGUGACGUCACCGCCGCCGGCUCUGAGGCGCGGCACCUCGGCGGCCGUUGCCGGCCCUGCGGCGGCCCGGCUGCCCGCCGCCAGCGGCCAGGGCGUGUGUGUGUAUGGGCGGGGGAGGGAAGCGUUCCGCACCUGCCACUCCCCAACUGCCCCCCCGCCAACGGCCGGGGCUGCUCGCCGCUCCGAGCGCGUCCGGACCGGGGCCGUCCGGGGGCAGGGCAGGGCAGGCCCUCCCUUCGCCCCAAGGCGAAGGAGGAAAUGCUGGUUUUAACCCCAGUCCUUUCUGACGCGGUUUUUGCCUUCCUCGUGGGGCCCUUUCGUUUUUUUAAUUGUUAUUUUAUGUACGGCAGACACUUAUUUCAAAACUCAUCUCCUUCCCCACAGUCAUGA
rnacentral:lncRNA from 1 species